rnacentral:rRNA from 1 species
AUAUUAAUAAGCGGAGGAAAAGAAACUAACAAGGAUACCCUCAGUAACGGCGAGUGAAGCGGGUGAAGCUCAAAUUUGAAAUCUGGGAGCAAUCCCCGAAUUGUAGUUUUGUGAAGUGGAAUCAUGAGCCUGCCCGAGUUCAAGUCCUCUGGAAAGGGGCAUCAUGGAGGGUGACAAUCCCGUACAUGGCUUGGGGCGGUUGGUUCGCACGUUUCCAUUUCGUAGAGUCGGGUUGUUUGGGACUGCAGCCUUAAGUGGGUGGUAAAUUUCAUCUAAAGCUAAAUAUGGACAAGAGACCGAUAGCGAACAAGUACCGUGAGG